UACAAGCUUUGGGUUUUGCCAGUAAAUUAAAUGCCAACCUGUACUUGAGCAUGAAGCCCACGCUCAAACCUGCCAGCCCAGCUUUAAGCAUCAUGAAGUCCAGGUGCAGUUCAUAUGAUUAACACUUCCAGACCUGAUUCAGCAUGAAGAAUCCGCAACCAAGCAUGACCAUUUUCCCAAUUUUGAUUCCUAAUGCUGUGUAAGGGUCUGCAAAUCCACCCAGCUUGACACCAUCUGAAAAUUUACUAAGUGUACACUCAGUUCCAUCCUCCAGGCCAUAAUGAAGAAGUUGAACAGCAGUGGACUCAGAACAGAUGCCUGAGGAACCCAGUUUGACACCUGUUUGAUUGAUGACUACACUUUGAGCAAUAUUAUCCACCAGUUAUGUACCUAUCUAAUAAAAGACUUUUCCGGACCAAAUUUAUCUUGCUUGCUAGAAUAUUUUGAGCUCCAGUGAGGCACAUGUGCAGCGGGAUGAAGAUAUGGUUUAGACAGAAUGCCCAAGAAACUCCAGUAUGGGAAAAUGAGGUGUAGGAAGAUUAAGCAUGCUUGCCCAAAAAAUUGAAUCGGGGAUAUUCUACUGGGAUACUUGAUCAAAAAAGCCCUACAAGUUAACUCUUUGGACAUGUCUACAUGAGCUAGCACAUGUGUGUUGUGGCAUCCCAAAGCAGUUCGAGAUGCUACAGAAAGCAUGCCAUGAACUAAAAAUGGUUCUCCAUGCUGCAUAUUUGUAACCCAGACUCUUAAGUUUGAUACCAGGGAAUCCCAGUAUCAGAAGAAAACAUGCUGGAAAAAAGCAGCAUUGUGCAUGCUCCUGGAGCGUACCCAGAAGCAACUGGAGGCUGAGUCCUCCAAGGUGAUGCUCUAGUACCUGGCGAGAGGGUGUCUAUGCACACCACAUACCCCUGCUGCUCCAGCAUGCUGCCUCAGUGUGCUGAAGGAAAUAGAAGUGGAGCAUGGCUAGCAGUAAUGGCUUAGUGGUUGGGACCCAGGCUCUGUCCUAGAUUGCUCCAGAGCCUGCCUAGCACCCUGGGCCCAGGCACAGCAGCAGGACCAUGAAGGCUCUGGAGCAACCCAGGACAGACUCUGGAGCUACCCAGCUGCAGCAGGAUCUGCCUGUCCUGAAGGCAGAGGCACCCUGUUUUCAGCUCCAGGUGAACAGCAGAGUCAGGAGGACCCAGAGGCUGUGGAAGGGACCAUGGGUGAUCCCGGUAAGCAGGGACAUGGGUUUUCUUUUUCCCAUGGAAAGACAUGGAUUUUCUCA